AAGUAAAGGCGUUUCAUUUCUUCCAUAAAUCAAGACGUUGUUACUUUGAUCUUGUCAAGGCUAUAAAACUUGCGUUCUUGGAAGUUCUAGGAAUUCUUUCCCUGAAUUUUCCCAUAUCCUUUAUUUUCAACUAUUUAAUUCUAGUUGUUCCAUUCCUUGUUGUAUUUCUUCCGCAUUUAGUUCUCAAUUUCUUACUCUAGUUUGGAUUCCCG
rnacentral:lncRNA from 1 species